GCCAGACUCCUACGGGAGGCAGCAGUGGGGGAUAUUGCACAAUGGGGGAAACCCUGAUGCAGCGACGCCGCGUGGAGGAUGAAGGUUUUCGGAUUGUAAACCCCUUUUGUUAGAGAAGAUAAUGACGGUAUCUAACGAAUAAGCACCGGCUAACUCCGUGCCAGCAGCCGCGGUAAUACGGAGGGUGCAAGCGUUACUCGGAAUCACUGGGCGUAAAGAGUUCGUAGGUGGCAUAUUAAGUCUGGUGUUAAAUGCAGAAGCUCAACUUCUGUUCGGCACUGGAUACUGGUAAGCUUGAAUGCGGUAGAGGUAAAGGGAAUUCCUGGUGUAGCGGUGAAAUGCUUAGAUAUCAGGAGGAACAUCGGUGGCGUAAGCGCUUUACUGGGCCGUAAUUGACGCUGAGGAACGAAAGCCAGGGUAGCAAAUGGGAUUAGAUACCCCGGUACC
rnacentral:rRNA from 1 species